rnacentral:rRNA from 1 species
AAUGGGGGCAACCCUGAUCCAGCCAUGCCGCGUGAGUGAAGAAGGCCUUCGGGUUGUAAAGCUCUUUCGGCCGGGAAGAAAUCGUGCAGGCUAAUACCCUGUAUGGAUGACGGUACCGGAAUAAGAAGCACCGGCUAACUACGUGCCAGCAGCCGCGGUAAUACGUAGGGUGCGAGCGUUAAUCGGAAUUACUGGGCGUAAAGGGUGCGCAGGCGGUAUUGUGAGCCAGAUGUGAAAUCCCCGGGCUCAACCUGGGAACGUCGUUUGGAACUGCAAUGCUAGAGUGUGUCAGAGGGGGGUGGAAUUCCACGUGUAGAAGUGAAAUUCGUAGAGAUGUGGAGGAACACCGAUGGCGAAGGCAGCCCCCUGGGAUAACACUGACGCUCAGGCACGAAAGCGUGGGGAGCAAA